GAUUAGCCUGCGUCCGAUUAGCUAGUUGGUGAGGUAAGGGCUCACCAAGGCGACGAUCGGUAGCUGGUCUGAGAGGAUGGCCAGCCACACUGGAACUGAGACACGGUCCAGACUCCUACGGGAGGCAGCAGUGGGGAAUAUUGGACAAUGGGGGAAACCCUGAUCCAGCAAUGCCGCGUGUGUGAAGAAGGCCUGAGGGUUGUAAAGCACUUUCAGUGGGGAGGAGGGUUGAUUGGUUAAGAGCUGAUUAAUUGGACGUUACCCACAGAAGAAGCACCGGCUAACUCCGUGCCAGCAGCCGCGGUAAUACGGAGGGUGCGAGCGUUAAUCGGAAUUACUGGGCGUAAAGGGUGCGUAGGUGGUUUGAUAAGUUAUCUGUAAAAGCCCUGGGCUCAACCUGGGAAGGCCAGAUAAAACUGUUGGACUGGAGUAUAGGAGAGGGUAGUGGAAUUUCCGGUGUAGCGGUGAAAUGCGUAGAGAUCGGAAGGAACACCAGUGGCGAAGGCGGCUACCUGGCCUGAUACUGACACUGAAGCACGAAAGCGUGGGGAGCAAACAGGAUUAGAUACCCUGGUAGUCCACGCUGUAAACGAUGUCAACUAGCUGUUGG
rnacentral:rRNA from 1 species